rnacentral:tRNA from 1 species
GAGGGAGGCCCGACGGCAGCAAGGACUGCUAAUCCUCGCCCCCCUGGUUAGACCCCAAGGCUCUCUCGA